CCCUAGCUGGUCUGAGAGGAUGACCAGCCACACUGGAACUGAGACACGGUCCAGACUCCUACGGGAGGCAGCAGUGGGGAAUAUUGCACAAUGGGCGCAAGCCUGAUGCAGCCAUGCCGCGUGUGUGAAGAAGGCCUCGGGUUGUAAAGCACUUUCAGCGGAGAGGAAGGCGUUAAGGUUAAUAACCUUGGCGAUUGACGUUACCCGCAGAAGAAGCACCGGCUAACUCCGUGCCAGCAGCCGCGGUAAUACGGAGGGUGCAAGCGUUAAUCGGAAUUACUGGGCGUAAAGCGCACGCAGGCGGUCUGUCAAGUCGGAUGUGAAAUCCCCGGGCUCAACCUGGGAACUGCAUUCGAAACUGGCAGGCUAGAGUCUUGUAGAGGGGGGUAGAAUUCCAGGUGUAGCGGUGAAAUGCGUAGAGAUCUGGAGGAAUACCGGUGGCGAAGGCGGCCCC
rnacentral:rRNA from 1 species